GGCGAGUUUCCCGAGUGGCCAAAGGGGGCUGACUGUAAAUCAGCUGCGGAACGCUUCGGGGGUUCGAAUCCCUCACUCGCCA
rnacentral:tRNA from 1 species